rnacentral:rRNA from 1 species
UACGUAGGGGGCAAGCGUUGUCCGGAAUUAUUGGGCGUAAAGGGCGCGUAGGCGGAUAGUUAAGUCCGGUGUGAAAGAUCAGGGCUCAACCCUGAGAGUGCAUCGGAAACUGGUUAUCUUGAGGACAGGAGAGGAAAGUGGAAUAUCCGGUGUAGUAGUGAAAUGCGUAGAUAUCGGAUGGAACACCAGUGGCGAAGGCGACUUUCUGGCUGCUAACUGACGCUGAGACGCGAAAGCUAGGGGAGCGAACGGG